GGAGGAUUGGCCGAGCGGUAAGGCACCGGCUUGCUAAGCCGUGGUCGGGGUUGACCCCCCGCGCGUGUUCGAUCCACGCAUCCUCCGCCA
rnacentral:tRNA from 2 species